GAUGAACGCUAGCGGGAGGCCUAACACAUGCAAGCCGAGCGGUAGAGUUCCUUCGGGGACUUGAGAGCGGCGCACGGGUGCGGAACACGUGUGCAACCUGCCUUUAUCUGGGGGAUAGCCUUUCGAAAGGAAGAUUAAUACCCCAUAAUAUAUUGAUUCGCAUGGAUUGAUAUUGAAAACUCCGGUGGAUAAAGAUGGGCACGCGCAAGAUUAGAUAGUUGGUGAGGUAACGGCUCACCAAGUCAGUGAUCUUUAGGGGGCCUGAGAGGGUGAUCCCCCACACUGGUACUGAGACACGGACCAGACUCCUACGGGAGGCAGCAGUGAGGAAUAUUGGACAAUGGGUGAGAGCUUGAUCCAGCCAUCCCGCGUGAAGGAUGACGGCCCUAUGGGUUGUAAACUUCUUUUGUACAGGGAUAAACCUAGAUACGUGUAUCUAGCUGAAGGUACUGUACGAAUAAGCACCGGCUAACUCCGUGCCAGCCGCCGCGGUAAGAC
rnacentral:rRNA from 1 species